GAUGAAGAACGCAGCGAAAUGCGAUAAGUAAUGUGAAUUGCAGAAUUCAGUGAAUCAUCGAAUCUUUGAACGCACAUUGCGCCCGCCAGUAUUCUGGCGGGCAUGCCUGUUCGAGCGUCAUUUCAACCAUCAAGCCCCCGGCUUGUGUUGGGGACCUGCGGCUGCCGCAGGCCCUGAAAAGCAGUGGCGGGCUCGCUGUCACACCGAGCGUAGUAGCAUACAUCUCGCUCUGGGCGUGCUGCGGGUUCCGGCCGUUAAACCACCUUCAUAACCCAAGGUUGACCUCGGAUCAGGUAGGAAGACCCGCUGAACUUAAGCAUAUAAUAAGCGGAGGA
rnacentral:misc_RNA from 1 species